GUCUCUUGGCCCACAGAGGGGUCCCUGGGAUGGCCACGGUGUCCCUGUGGAGCCGGGAACGGCAGCCGGAGCCGGGAAUGGCUGCGCGAGCGGGCGGGGAAGGGGCUCGGCCGCACGGGGCCGGUCCCUGCCGUAGCUGCAGCUCGUUAAAGUCUGGCUGGAGGCGAGAGAGAUCCCUCGAUAAAGAUGUGAAGCGAAAUCGAGGGGCUCCUUGGAGAAGCACUUUCCAGGGGAGAGGGGGCUGUGCCUCUGCCAGGGUGCUGGGGAUCCACGUGCCAGCCCGGUGGGAUCUCAUCCCUUUCAUCCUAGAAAACACUUAGGGGGAAUAUCUCCCUGGUCCCGCGGUGCCUGUGGGAUGAGAGAAGUUUAUUCCCCACCGAUGUUUUAUUUAGGUGAGUUUUAAAUAACUCCAGUGCUUUCCUGGGGGAACCAUCCCCCGGAUUUCUGCACUAAGCACUUUUUCCUGGUGUUCAGCCGAAUCUUUCUUUUUCUUUUCUUUUCUUUUCUUUUUUUUUUUUUUUUGGCUCAGAAAUUUCUCAGGUAAUUUAAAUGUGAAGUGGCUGUGGAAUACAUUGGGCUGCAGCUCAUCACUUGAUGAGGGGCUGAUUGGGCUCCGAGAGACUCUGCCAGCAGGGAGGGAGGUGGAAGAGCCGGGAAGUUUGGGAAUGAUGCCGGGUGUCACCAGUCCAGUCCUUUGAGAAUGGAGCAGGUAGGGGAAAAUCACCCAGCCCAUCCCCAAAAAUGUUUUAAGGAGGUAUCUAGGUGAAGAGAGAGGAGAGGGAAGCCAAGAGUUUGGAAUUCACACGGUGUGGGAAGGGCUCAGCAGGAACUGUGGGAAGGGGGCAUGGACUGGGGACGAGGCAGCUCCAGGGCCCCAAAAAGGUGAAGAAUUUGGGAAUUCAACAAUGUCCUUUCUUGUCCCUCACCAUUUGCAGGUGAGGAUUCUGGGGGAGCAGCAGGUCUGUGGGUACCUCUUGGAUCCCUCAUGGAAUGGGAACCUGGAGCAGCACCCCAGGAUGCAGCUGUGUGGGAGCUGAGUCCCCCAGAACUUGUGACAUCCACAUGGGAAUGUCCAUGCCAGCCCCAGGAAAGGAAAGGGAGGUGUAAAUCCCAGUAACUCCUUGUGG
rnacentral:lncRNA from 1 species